GUAAUAAACAUCCCAACCUUAACUGCCCUCGGGUGCCUCAUGGCUGCAAAUACGGCAAAAGCCAAAGAACAGAAGAGCAAGUGGCACAGCCUGGAGGCAUCACCCUCCCAGAAAGAGCAGGUUGGAACCUGUCUCUUUGGCCCUUCCUGUCACCUCCAAAACAGUCCCAUCAGCACAGUCAAGAGGCUGCCAGGCCCUGUCAUGGUGUGGGCUGAAGGCCAUGUAGCAGAGGGAAGAGAAGCAGACCAUCUGGAAAAGUCAUGGAGACGUCAGUAAUCUGAGCCAGUGACUCCCCUUAGUUUUGCUUAUUGCAAAAAACAUCU